UACGGAGGAUGCGAGCGUUAUCCGGAUUUAUUGGGUUUAAAGGGUGCGCAGGCGGCGUGUCAAGUCAGCGGUAAAAUGUCGGGGCUCAACCCCGGCCGGCCGUUGAAACUGGCGUGCUCGAGUUGGAGAGAAGUAUGCGGAAUUCGUGGUGUAGCGGUGAAAUGCAUAGAUAUCACGAAGAACCCCGAUUGCGAAGGCAGCGUACCGGCUCCACACUGACGCUGAGGCACGAAAGCGUGGGUAUCGAACAGG
rnacentral:rRNA from 1 species